rnacentral:lncRNA from 1 species
GCAAAUCAAGCAAAUAUAUGCUGCUGAAUUUUGUUGAUUUUCGAAUUUUUGUUGUUUAUUUUCUGAUUUUGAAUAUACUAUGUUUUGAGAUCGAGUACAUAAAUAUUUAUUAUUUAUUUGUUUAAUUUCAUGAAAUAUUGAGAAAGUUGUAUUUUUACAUUUUCGUUGUAACCAUAUUCUUCCAUUUUUGUUGCUAUAGGAUUAGUAACCAAAUAUGGGGUUGGGGGCGAUGAAGUCUCCCCACAUCCCUUUAUUGCUCAGCACAAC